GCAGGCUGCAAAAAUGCUGCAGAAAAGGGAGAUUUCACUGAGACAGGAGGAUCGCUUGAGUCCAGGAGUUCUGGGCUAUAAUGCACUAACUUUAUGCCGAGGAGAGGGGGGGGGGGGGGGGUUGUGACCCCCGGGGGGGGGGUCGCACCAGGAUGCUUAAGGAGGGGUGAACUGGCCGAGGUCAGAAAUGGAGCAGGUCAAAAGUCCCGUGCUGAUCAGUAGUGGGAUGGUGUCUGUUAACAGCCACUGCACUCCAGCAUGGGCAAUAUAGUGUGACCCUGUCUCUU
rnacentral:SRP_RNA from 1 species